GGGUAAUGGAUUGAGUAUGGAACUUCACAAAUGGUCAAGUCCUGCGUUUCCUGAAAAGAUUGCUCUCAUAUGCACUUCCCUCACUGACAAAUCCAAGCGUAGCAUUUUCCAUUUGAAAGUGAAUCGAGAAAGGGUGCUGUUGAGACUGGCAGAGUCUGUGUGUGAUCAUCAUCUAGUUCGCUUAUUUCACAUGGAGGUCGCUGCUCAAAGAGACACCAUGAACUAUUUCAACUUUCUGCAAGUGAGAGUGGUCGUAGAUGACACUUCUCAACAGACUCAGUACAAGGAUCAGGACUAUCUGAGCGAUCUCUGUGGAAGGAAAAGUUGUUUUUAUGAAGUGAUGCGCAAAGUUGAAAGCAGUGGUUCUGUGGAGACGAUUUCUUGGGAGUUUUUUCACUCAUAUAGAGUGACUCUUACAACCCAUAUCAGAUACCAUGUGAUCAUUGAUUGUGACAAAGAGAUGGGACUUAGGGCAAAAAUUACAGGCC
rnacentral:sRNA from 1 species